UAAAAAAUCUUUAUUUAUAAUUGUAAAUAGAUAGUACAACACACUUAGGUGGAAUAAUGAAAAUUAAAUAUAUUUACUAUAAAAUACUUAACAAUAAUUAUUUUUAGUACCUUCUUACCUAGGCUUGGUUGGGAAUGUACAAUUAUUAAAAAUAAUAUCCAAUUAACCCAGAGGUGGACUAAACCUAUAGAGCGCCGUAGGCAAGCACCUCAUAGGAGCCUUUGAUGUUUUUAGCGCAGCUCCACUCCAUGGGCAAUAUGGGCACGUGUGUCUCGUGGCGCCUCUCUGUGCUCUAGCGCCCUUGUUAGGUACUUGUCUAGUUUACCUUAGGCUCUAAAUUAACCUAUAGUCCGCACGAUCUGAGAAGUCAACUCCGACAGUUAUCAUGUACUGAGAAUUAAAUAAAAUCGGUUGCUGUUUAAUGACCGAUUCCAAAGUCAUACCUAUCGAGUAAAAAUAAUUAGAGUUUGUACCAAUCACUGAAUUAGAAAAUAUAAUUAUGUCUCAAGAACUUCCGAAAUAGUGUGAGACUGCGUACGGCAUUGAUGAAUCAAUUAACCUAACCGAUUUAAAAAUAAAAUUAAUAUGAUAGAUCUGAACAACGGAUAACUGACGUGUAACAUCGAUCACUAAGGUAACAGAUUUGAAGGUUUGAAAUUGUAAUGGCGGCCUCUUGGUAUUAGGUAUUAUCUUUUAAAUAAUUCGUCUAUUAAAUGCAUUUCUAUAAUAUAAUGAUAAAUUUGAUGCUUAUAAAUUAUAUCCUUAUGAAAAUGUAUGAGUAGGUAAUGAAUGAAAUAAUAUUAGAUAUGAAUUAGUUUUUUUUCAGUAAGUAUUUACGUGAACGAUCCAAGACAUUCGUAACAUGUUAUAGCGGUACAUAGACUGACAAAAUGUCAGAGUUGACCUCUUAAAUUGUGCCGACUAUAAUAACGCAAGUCCGGCAUAAUAUAAAAUAAUCUCUUAAAUUGUAAGUACCCACAUAGCAUCAAAACGUACCUACUUUUCUUUUACCCGACUGCGCCAGAAGGAGGGUUAUGUUUUUCGAGUGUAUGUAUGUAUGUAUGUAUGUAUGUAUAAUUGUUUGGCACGCUCUGCAGCCUAAACGGCUUGAUGGAUUUUGACUUGAGAGGUGUCGUUAGAUUCGUAUUUACUGUGAGAGUGACACUGGAUAUAUAAAAAUAAUAAAAAAACAAAAUGGCGGAUUUUUGGCGCCAAAUUCGAAUAUUGCUCACUCUCUAGCCUGAACGACUCGAUGGAUUUCCGCUUGAUAGGGGUCGUUUGAUUCGUAUUUACUGUGAGAGUGACACUAGAUAUAUCAAAAU